AGUGAACGCUGGCGGUAGGCCUAACACAUGCAAGUCGAACGGCAGCACAGUAAGAGCUUGCUCUUACGGGUGGCGAGUGGCGGACGGGUGAGGAAUACAUCGGAAUCUACUUUUUCGUGGGGGAUAACGUAGGGAAACUUGCGCUAAUACCGCAUACGACCUACGGGUGAAAGCAGGGGAUCUUCGGACCUUGCGCGAUUGAAUGAGCCGAUGUCGGAUUAGCUAGUUGGCGGGGUAAAGGCCCACCAAGGCGACGAUCCGUAGCUGGUCUGAGAGGAUGAUCAGCCACACUGGAACUGAGACACGGUCCAGACUCCUACGGGAGGCAGCAGUGGGGAAUAUUGGACAAUGGGCGCAAGCCUGAUCCAGCCAUACCGCGUGGGUGAAGAAGGCCUUCGGGUUGUAAAGCCCUUUUGUUGGGAAAGAAAAGCAGCAAGUUAAUACCCCGCUGUUCUGACGGUACCCAAAGAAUAAGCACCGGCUAACUUCGUG
rnacentral:rRNA from 1 species